UAGGGAAUUUUCCACAAUGGGCGAAAGCCUGAUGGAGCAACGCCGCGUGCAGGAUGAAGGCCUUCGGGUCGUAAACUGCUUUUAUGAGUGAUGAAUAAGACAGUAGCUCAAGAAUAAGGGUCGGCUAACUACGUGCCAGCAGCCGCGGUCAUACGUAGGACCCAAGCGUUAUCCGGAAUUACUGGGCGUAAAGAGUUGCGUAGGCGGCUUGUUAAGCAAGGUGUGAAAUCGUACGGCUCAACCGUAUACACAUGCUUUGAACUGGCAAGCUAGAGAAUGAGAGAGGUUAUUGGAAUUCCAAGUGUAGGAGUGAAAUCCGUAGAUAUUUGGAGGAACACCGAUGGCGUAGGCAGAUAACUGGCUCAUUUCUGACGCUAAGGCACGAAAGCGUGGGGAGCAAACGGG
rnacentral:rRNA from 1 species